UGGGGAAUAUUGCACAAUGGGCGCAAGCCUGAUGCAGCCAUGCCGCGUGUGUGAAGAAGGCCUUCGGGUUGUAAAGCACUUUCAGCGGGGAGGAAGGCGGUGAGGUUAAUAACCUCAUCGAUUGACGUUACCCGCAGAAGAAGCACCGGCUAACUCCGUGCCAGCAGCCGCGGUAAUACGGAGGGUGCAAGCGUUAAUCGGAAUUACUGGGCGUAAAGCGCACGCAGGCGGUCUGUCAAGUCGGAUGUGAAAUCCCCGGGCUCAACCUGGGAACUGCAUUCGAAACUGGCAGGCUAGAGUCUUGUAGAGGGGGGUAGAAUUCCGGGUGUAGCGGUGAAAUGCGUAGAGAUCUGGAGGAAUACCGGUGGCGAAGGCGGCCCCCUGGACAAAGACUGACGCUCAGGUGCGAAAGCGUGGGGAGCAAACAGG
rnacentral:rRNA from 1 species